AUUGAACGCUGGCGGCAGGCCUAACACAUGCAAGUCGAACGGUAGCACAGAGGAGCUUGCUCCUUGGGUGACGAGUGGCGGACGGGUGAGUAAUGUCUGGGAAACUGCCCGAUGGAGGGGGAUAACUACUGGAAACGGUAGCUAAUACCGCAUAACGUCUUCGGACCAAAGUGGGGGACCUUCGGGCCUCACACCAUCGGAUGUGCCCAGAUGGGAUUAGCUAGUAGGUGGGGUAAUGGCUCACCUAGGCGACGAUCCCUAGCCGGUCUGAGAGGAUGACCAGCCACACUGGAACUGAGACACGGUCCAGACUCCUACGGGAGGCAGCAGUGGGGAAUAUUGCACAAUGGGCGCAAGCCUGAUGCAGCCAUGCCGCGUGUAUGAAGAAGGCCUUCGGGUUGUAAAGUACUUUCAGCGGGGAGGAAGGCGUUAAGGUUAAUAACCUUGGCGAUUGACGUUACCCGCAGAAGAAGCACCGGCUAACUCCGUGCCAGCCGCCGCUGUAACAC
rnacentral:rRNA from 1 species